GAAAGACGAUUAUAAAUUUUCCUGGAAUGAGAAUUGAACAUUUGAUGGGCAGUGGGCACAACUUCAUACAUUCACGGUAUUACUUGCAUAUGCGUACGUAUAAGACGCAGAUAAUCCACUCUGUUCAUGAUACAAAAAGUCUUGUUGUUAGCAUCCCAAACAUUUAUGUAAGCAAUACGUCGUAACAUCGACGGAAUGAACUGAGCAGAAUGGCAGAUCGCAAAAAAAUACAACAGUAAAAAAAACAGCAGCCGUCGUUGCCCAUGGGCUUGUCUCCGGCUUAUAGUUGGGCUUGACUGACCUACUUUGCCCUUUUUACAGCGAAAAUGCGACAUUCCUUCUCCUUUACCAACUGGCUGGUUGGUGAUGCGGUGCCGUUGAUUUGCAACGCUAAUCAGGGAUUAACCAGUUGCAUUUAGCCGACAUAUUUGGAAUUCUAAAACAAAAUAUAUUGGAUCUGAGCACAAUUCAUUUAACCAAAUUUUUUAAUUUUGAUAACAAUUAAUUUUAGAAGUAGUAUUUACCCACAUAAUAUUAAAGUUAAUUCAUGUGAAAAUCUUGUAUAACCUGUAAUAAAAGAGGAGUAAUAGUUUUAAU